rnacentral:misc_RNA from 1 species
GUAAUUUUAUUUAUGUAUAUGCCCAAACAUCUGUAUAUGUGUGUAUUGUAAACAUAUCAUAGACCACACCAGAGUGCGUCUACAGGCAGUGCACAGGUGGAACAGAAGAAACAGAUGACCAGAGGUGUGCACAUUGCCCCCAAAGGGCCAGCACAACAACAUCCAGUCAGAAGUUUCAUUCAAUAAUGAUCCUUCCGCAGGUUCACCUACGGAAA